rnacentral:rRNA from 1 species
AGUGAACGCUGGCGGUAGGCCUAACACAUGCAAGUCGAACGGCAGCACAGUAAGAGCUUGCUCUUACGGGUGGCGAGUGGCGGACGGGUUAGGAAUACAUCGGAAUCUACUUUUUCGUGGGGGAUAACGUAGGGAAACUUACGCUAAUACCGCAUACGACCUACGGGUGAAAGCAGGGGAUCUUCGGACCUUGCGCGAUUGAAUGAGCCGAUGUCGGAUUAGCUAGUUGGCGGGGUAAAGGCCCACCAAGGCGACGAUCCGUAGCUGGUCUGAGAGGAUGAUCAGCCACACUGGAACUGAGACACGGUCCAGACUCCUACGGGAGGCAGCAGUGGGGAAUAUUGGACAAUGGGCGCAAGCCUGAUCCAGCCAUGCCGCCUGAGUGAAGAAGGCCUUCGGGUUGUAAAGCCCUUUUGUUGGGAAAGAAAAGCAGCAGGUUAAUACCCCGCUGUUCUGACGGUACCCAAAGAAUAAGCACCGGCUAACUUCGUG